rnacentral:rRNA from 1 species
GAUGAACGCUGGCGGCGUGCUUAAUACAUGCAAGUCGAGCGAACGGACGAGAAGCUUGCUGCUCUGAUGUUAGCGGCGGACGGGUGAGUAACACGUGGAUAACCCACCUAUAAGACUGGGAUAACGGCGAGAAACCGGAGUUAAUACCGGAUAACAUUUUGAAUCGCAUGGUUGAAAAGUGAAAGACGGUUUUGCUGUCACUUCUAGCUGGAUCCGCGCUGCAUUGGCGAGUUGGUAAGGUAACGGCUUACCAUGGCAACGAUGCAUAGCUGACCUGAGAGGGUGUCGGGCGACACUGAGACUGAGACACGGUACAGACUCCGACGGGAGGCAGCAGUAGCGAAUCGUCCGCAAUGGGGGAAAUCCUGACGAAGCAGCGCCAGGUGAGUGAUGAAGGGCUGCGGGUCGGAAAACUCUGUUAGUGGGGAAGAACAUUUUUGUAAGUAACUGUGCACAUCUUGACGGUACCUAAUCAGAAAGCCACGGCUAACUACGUG